rnacentral:rRNA from 1 species
AUUGAACGCUGGCGGCAUGCUUUACACAUGCAAGUCGAACGGUAACAGGCCGCAAGGUGCUGACGAGUGGCGAACGGGUGAGUAAUGCAUCGGAACGUGCCCAGUCGUGGGGGAUAACUGCUCGAAAGAGCAGCUAAUACCGCAUACGAGCUAUGGAUGAAAGCGGGGGACCGUAAGGCCUCGCGCGAUUGGAGCGGCCGAUGUCAGAUUAGGUAGUUGGUGGGGUAAAGGCUCACCAAGCCAACGAUCUGUAGCUGGUCUGAGAGGACGACCAGCCACACUGGGACUGAGACACGGCCCAGACUCCUACGGGAGGCAGCAGUGGGGAAUUUUGGACAAUGGGGGCAACCCUGAUCCAGCAAUGCCGCGUGCAGGAAGAAGGCCUUCGGGUUGUAAACUGCCUUUGUACGGAACGAAACGGUCUGGGUUAAUACCCUGGGCUAAUGACGGUACCGUAAGAAUAAGCACCGGCUAACUACGUGCCAGCCGCCGCGGUAAAAC